rnacentral:lncRNA from 1 species
GGACACAGCCAUGAUCCUGCCUUGCUGGGGAAUGGCAAGCACGACCUUCUUUAAUACCGCAGAGAAGCAGCAAUGAGCACCUGUGAGCACCUGUGCACUCUGGCAUCUGGCAGACAGCUUGAGAUGGACGGCACAUUUACAUGAUUCAAAAAUAAGAUGCUAAGACAUGACUCCUGCAUCUGUGUCCAUUGUAGCCUCCCCCAGCCUGAAGCAGGCUGGUACAAACCUUGUGGCCACUGAGGUGGGGCCACCUGUGGUGCAGCUUUUUCGGACUUGGCUGGCUCCUCUUUGAAGUGACAACUGCCCUGCUCUUCUGCUACCUGGAGAGGCUGAACCUGUCUUCCUGAGAGAUUCCCGAAUAAGCAACCAGCCUGGAGACCAACAAAGUGCUGACAGAAUGGCUCCAGGCACCAAGAGUGGACUGGGGGACAGGGGACAGGGGACGGGGGGGUCGCCUUCCCCCUUAUAAGCACAAACUCUCAGGCCUUGAACAGAAACAUGUCUUGGUCUCCAUUAUCUUCUCUCGCAGUCUAAGUCUCUUUCAGCCCCAGCCUGCCUCCCAGGGGUACCCGGUUCAGGUAGGCCGCGGGCUGGCAAACAACAGUCAGUCAGUCUUAGCC